rnacentral:tRNA from 1 species
ACAUCGGUAGCACAAUGGUUAGUACAGUCUGCCGGAAACAAGGCGCGGGUUCAAUUCCCGUCCGAUGUC